rnacentral:rRNA from 1 species
UACGUAGGUGGCAAGCGUUGUCCGGAUUUACUGGGCGUAAAGGGCGUGCAGGUGGUCUGUUAAGUCUGGCGUGAAAGCUCUCGGCUAAACCGGGAGAGGUCGUUGGAUACUGGCGGACUAGAGGACGGUAGAGGCGUGUGGAAUUCCGGGUGUAGUGGUGAAAUGCGUAGAGAUCCGGAGGAACACCAGUGGCGAAGGCGACACGCUGGGCCGUACCUGACACUAAAACGCGACAGCAUGGGGAGCGAACGGG